rnacentral:rRNA from 1 species
GUGGGGAAUAUUGGACAAUGGGCGAAAGCCUGAUCCAGCCAUGCCGCGUGUGUGAUGAAGGUCUUCGGAUUGUAAAGCACUUUAAGUUGGGAGGAAGGGCAGUAAGUUAAUACCUUGCUGUUUUGACGUUACCGACAGAAUAAGCACCGGCUAACUUCGUGCCAGCAGCCGCGGUAAUACGAAGGGUGCAAGCGUUAAUCGGAAUUACUGGGCGUAAAGCGCGCGUAGGAGGUUUUGUAAGUUGGAGGUGAAAUCCCCGGGCUCAACCGGGGAAGUGCGUCCGAUACGGCAGGACUAGAGUUCGGUAGAGGGUAGUGGAAUUUCCUGUGUAGCGGUGAAAUGCGUAGAUAUAGGAAGGAACACCAGUGGCGAAGGCGACUACCUGGACGGAUACUGACACUGAGGUGCGAAAGCGUGGGGCGCAAACAGGAUUAGAAACCCUGGUAGUCC